CCAUCAGCAAGUUGAUUGCACCCUGAAGAAGAAAUUGACAAUGGAAAACAAAAGGCAAUUUAACGAACAUAUUCUUACUAUUUCAAAAUUCAAAAACAAAAAAAAUCACAUUUUAAGUUCUAAUUAAUUGUUGAAAGGGAACAGUGGGAAAAGGAAAAUCCAAAUUGGCAGCUGCCUAGCAAGCAGCAACUCAUAUAACUCUACAAGGGCAGUUUGACAAAAUGUCUAUAUGUAAAUGAAAAUUGCAUUAGAGAGUCAUAUGAGACAUUAUGGCCAAUUAGCCAUGUCAAUAUUCCACCAGAGUAAACUUUUACUCUUCCAAGUUGAUGCCAGCUAGCUUACUUUGCAAAGUCCCUUGAUGAUGACGCCCAGGACCCAUAAUCAAAUCCUACCAAGCGCUACCCACAGUGUCUGAUCCAUGAUGGAGAACAUGUUACGUAUAGCAGAGCUAGAUAUGGGAAAGGAAAUAAUAGGAAUGGAGCUGUAGUUGUAUGAGGAGGAGAGUAGAAUAGUUAUUGUAGAGGGAGUCCUUGCUAUAUAAAUAAGAGAAAUGUACUAGAGGA
rnacentral:misc_RNA from 1 species